rnacentral:sRNA from 1 species
AUUGAUAAAGAGGGGUUGGUAGACUACUGGAUAAGUGAGGGAUUCAUAAAUGAAAAAGAAGGCAGAGAGAGGAAUAUUAACCAAGGUUAUG